rnacentral:sRNA from 1 species
AUUAUUACUAUCACCAAAGUAUAAGGUCGUAACUGUAUUUAACUAAACUUACCCCAUUAACAUCUUUAGGAACAGGCAAUAGCUGGGCAUAGCCAACACUAUCUGAUUCAGUAGCAGCUGAAUAAAUACUGCUAAUCUUUUUGUCUUGGUUAAACACUAAACUGCCACUCGAUCCACCUAGUAAAUCAGUAUCAGUUAGAGCUAAGCCAUAGCCGUGGUUUUUAUAUUCAUAUCCAUGAUAAUCAGUGAUAGCACUUUUAAAAGUACCAAAAUCAACAAUUCCUUGAUUUAAGGAAUAUUCAUUAAGGAAGCCGUUACUGUAAUCUGUGUGCACUUUACUACCAGCAACUGGUUGACCUUGCCUUAAGUUUUUGGUAAGUGUUGGCAUAGAACCAUAAAAGUCAUCAUGGUUAAAACGUUGUUCUGUUUUGGUUCACUCAAACAACUUAGCAUCAUCAGUCCAUAAAGUUGGAUAACCCAAAAGG